GAUGAACGCUGGCGGCGUGCCUAAUACAUGCAAGUCGAGCGAACGGACGAGAAGCUUGCUUUUCUGAUGUUAGCGGCGGACGGGUGAGUAACACGUGGAUAACCUACCUAUAAGACUGGGAUAACUUCGGGAAACCGUAGCUAAUACCGGAUAAUAUUUUGAACCGCAUGGUUCAAAAGUGAAAGACGGUCUUGCUGUCACUUAUAGAUUGAUCCGCGCUGCAUUAGCUAGUUGGUAAGGUAACGGCUUACCAAGGCAACGAUGCAUAGCCGACCUGAGAGGGUGAUCGGCCACACUGGAACUGAGACACGGUCCAGACUCCUACGGGAGGCAGCAGUAGGGAAUCCUCCGCAAUGGGCGAAAGCCUGACGGAGCACCGCCGCGUGAGUGAUGAAGGUCUUCGGAUCGUAAAACUCUGUUAUUAGGGAAGAACAUAUGUGUAAGUACCUGUGCACAUCUUGACGGUACCUAAUCAGAAAGCCACGGCUAACUACGUG
rnacentral:rRNA from 1 species